ensembl:lncRNA
GUAACCUUCACCUGUCUGAAUGGAGGAGAAGCAAACAAAGUGAAUGCUCUCUCGCUCAGAGACAUGUCACUUAUCAAAAGGCUCCGUCUCAGUAGAUCAACGCCUACGAACACAAGGAACUAGCGCGCACGCCCUAACCAGAACACAAUGCCGUGGAGCUGAUUACUCACAUACAGGUCCAAACACUAGCGGCGCUUUGCCGGCACUGUUGGAUAAUGUCUUGUUUUUGAAUUGGUUCCUGAUAAGAUUGUCAGACAGUUUUUUUCCGGAGGUAUAAGGGGAGAACAGCUCUUGAGUGGACAUUUCAGCCACUUUGUCGCCCGGAUCUCGGCAGCAGAACCAUGGUUCUCCUCUGCACAUUUCGUCUGCCUCUGCUGCUCACCUGCCUGGCAGGAACACUUGCCAGUGAGAGAGAGCAGGGCAGGACAUCGGAGGAAACCACACCAUAUGGGCCGUCCUUUGUGGAGAUCAGUGGGGUGAACACAGUGACGGUGGAGGUUCCCUAUGGCUUCCAGUGUUCAGCCAAUUGCUUCCCAACUUGCACCUUCACCUGGACCAGAGGAGAGCUCACCACCCAGGGCCCACAGCUCAACCUCCAGCUGAAGGAGCAGGUUCCACCACAGGUCCUGAUCUGUAUGGCUACAAACCCCACCACUGGGAAGUCAGUGACAGUCAGCAAAACAGUCAACGUGACGUCUGGACCGUCCAAUAUAAAGAUCACAGGUCCUGAUACACUGUCCAGUGGAGUGACGUCCAACUUUUCCUGCUCUGCUGAUUGCUACCCGUCCUGCUCCUACACCUGGACAAUUAGUUCUGAAGCACAAAGCACAGUGACCACCAAAUAUGGUCAAACCAUCUCUGUCACACCUGACUCCUGGGAGAUUGCAGAGGAAUUGAUCUGUGAUGCUCAGGACACUGUCUCACUCCUCUACAUCUCAACCUAUGUCACACCUUACGUGGCCCGCGGACCGGGGGCCAUUUUGAUCACGGGUGCCAGCUCAGUGACAGUAGGAGACACUUACAACUUUGUGUGCUUUGUUGACUGCACCCCCUCCUGUAACUUUACCUGGACAUUCAAUGGAAAGAUCUUCAAUGGUGACGAGAUCCAGUUGCCAAUCUUCCAUAAGGGCGAUAAGCCCAUGGUUGGCAGUAAACUGGUGGUUACUGUUGAUGAUUACAGGCACAAUGAGGCACUGACGUGUGAGGCCAAGAAUGUUGCCUCAGGGGUCACUGCUGUUAGCACCAAGAUCCUGAGCGUCACUGAUCCUAUCUCUGUACAGCCGGUGUCCCAGGACAAGCCCUUGGCACACCAGCCCUUCUCACUGCAGUGUGUGGGCUCUCAGAAUCCAGCCUCCAUUUUGUGGUUAAAAAAUGGCCUCCCUAUAGCUGUGUCCGGCAGGGUCAGUCUCUCCCCCAACAAUAUCACUAUGUCUUUUAGUCCUCUGCUCCAGUCAGAUGGUGGGCUGUACCAAUGCAUUGUUUCUCAGGGGGGAGCACCCAUCAAAGGGGUUGGGUACCAACUGAAUGUAAAUUAUGGACCACUUCAAGCUGUUAUCAUCCAAUCUGGCAAAGGCCCAGUAGGUAAAGUCCUGUAUCUCCUGCCUGGAUCAAAGACAGCCCUUCAGUGUUCGGCCCUGUGCUACCCCACCUGUACCUAUACCUGGAUAUACAAGGGGAGGCUGGCAGAGAUGAACGCCUCCUUCUCCCUCACACCUGAGACAACCAUGGACGGAGGACCCCUCAGCUGUGUGGCUUACAACUCAGUGACCAAUGACAACAGCACUGCCAAUACCUCAGUUGUGUUACUUGAUGGACCAUCUAAUGUGACCAUCUCAGGACCAGGUGCCCUAGAGGUAGGGGUCAAGGCCAGUUUCAAGUGUAUUGCCCAGUGCUCUCCCUCUUGCAGCUAUACCUGGAGUGUGUAUGGUCGGACCAUGCACGGCAGCGUGGUUGAUAUAACCGUCAACCGUUACGUGGCCACUGAGUCUUUCAGCUGCGAGGCACACAACACGAUCACCAGGAAGACAGCAACAGCCAAUGAGACACUCAGUGUCACAGAUUCUCACUGGUGUGGAUGUUGAGAACAGUCAAGACAAGAAUUCCAUUCAAUGGCG